AGUCACGCUGUAAACGAUGUCGAUUUGGAGGUUGUGCCCGUGAGGCGUGGCUUCGGGAGCUAACGCGUUAAAUCGACCGCUUGGGGAGUACGGCCGCAAGGUUAAAACUCAAAUGAAUUGACGGGGGCCCGCACAAGCGGUGGAGCAUGUGGUUUAAUUCGAUGCAACGCGAAGAACCUUACCUACUCUUGACAUCCAGAGAACUUUCCAGAGAUGGAUUGGUGCCUUCGGGAACUCUGAGACAGGUGCUGCAUGGCUGUCGUCAGCUCGUGUUGUGAAAUGUUGGGUUAAGUCCCGCAACGAGCGCAACCCUUAUCCUUUGUUGCCAGCGGUUCGGCCGGGAACUCAAAGGAGACUGCCAGUGAUAAACUGGAGGAAGGUGGGGAUGACGUCAAGUCAUCAUGGCCCUUACGAGUAGGGCUACACACGUGCUACAAUGGCGUAUACAAAGAGAAGCGACCUCGCGAGAGCAAGCGGACCUCAUAAAGUACGUCGUAGUCCGGAUUGGAGUCUGCAACUCGACUCCAUGAAGUCGGAAUCGCUAGUAAUCGUAGAUCAGAAUGCUACGGUGAAUACGUUCCCGGGCCUUGUACACACCGCCCGUCACACCAUGGGAGUGGGUUGCAAAAGAAGUAGGUAGCUUAACCUUCGGGAGGGCGCUUACCACUUUGUGAUUCAUGACUGGGGUGAAGUCGUAACAAGGUAACCA
rnacentral:rRNA from 1 species